rnacentral:lncRNA from 10 species
GUUGUGGGUAACGCGGACGUGGAAGAACCUCGUCUGCGGAGGAAAAGGUAGAUGUUAAAUGGUAACUACGCGCGAGGUUCUGAGGAGCCCUGGGAACAGGAAGGAGAAAAGAAUACCAAAAGUGACAACAGUUUGCCAAUCGCAGUCUUUAAUCUGAUAAAGCGGUUAUCUCGUCUUGAGUCCCAGGUGCCGAGUCAAUCCCCAUACACAGCCGCCGCCAUUGCCUCGAGUCCUUGUGUCUGACUGUCUGUUCCUGCUGCUGUAUGACACAGCACCUCGAGGCAAGGAAAUAAGAAAACUGCCUCUGAUCCAAGCAGAGAAGGUAGAUCUGUCCCCAGGUCUGUGGAACUGUCAGUUGUGAAGUUUUGUAAAAUGGUCACCCAACUUAAAACUAGGAAAUUACGAAGAAGAGAAAAUUGCCCUGUAUCUGUUAAGGUCUGCCUGUAGAUCUGCUGUAGGGCUUGUCACCAUUGGAAGCAAGGUCCUACUUCAGUGGCAGAUCUGGUGGCCUUGGAGUGGCUGAAGACCACCACCCUCCACAGGGCUGGGCCCAUGCACAGCCAUCCUUCCCUACCUUGAAACUCCUGUAGCCUGUAAUACCAGCUGUGGGUACUACUCUCAGUGUUGGAGAUCAUCAAAAUACAAUUGGACCAGACCCUUUGGAAAUAAUUCUGUGUCUCAAAUGCCCUGUGGAGCACACACUUAAUCAGUUGAUGGCUAUGGAAUUUUCCAACAUCAGCUAAAGAGAAGGGAUAGAGUGGUGACUUCCAAGCUUCAUGCAGAACCGGACAACAGAAAUUGAGAGGGAAAUUUCUAUGACAGAAGAGAGAAAGAAGAAAAUUGCUGGAAUAAUGACCUUGAAUAGAGGAAAUGGGAUAUCAUCUGGUAAGCAAAUAGAGAAGCUGGCUUUAGAUAAGAGCCUGGACAAUUCAUUCAUAGAAUAGCAGAAAAGGCAGAAUUUAUGUCCAUAGAUGCAAGUGGUAUAGUAGAUAUAGUGAUGGGAGUUUGUAAAAGUUACCUUCUAAUUGCUAUUUUUUUUAAUGAAAUAAGAAACAAAGUCAUCAACUCAAAGUGAGUAAUAUGUAGGAGGUGAUUAUUGUUUGAGGAGAGAGGAGAAUGUGUGAUAUCUUUUGUUAAUUAUGGUAAAAUAUAACACAAAAUUUGCCAUUUUAACCAUUUUAAGUGGACAAUUAAGUGUCAUUAAUUACAUUCACACUGUUGUACAUCUGCCACCACUAUCUUCUUCUAAAACUUUUUAUCACCUCUUAUAGUUUAAAUUGUGCCCCCACAGAAGAUAUGUUGGAGUCCUAUCCCUUAAUAUUAAUGUGACCUUAUUUGGAGAUAGGAUCUUUAUAAAGGUAUUCAAAUUAACAUGAGAUCAUUAGGGUGGAAUCCUAAUCCAAUAUGAUUAGUGUCCUUAUAAAAAGGGGAAAUUUGGACACAGAGGCAAGCACACAGGGAGAGUGCCAAGUGAAGAUGAAGAAAAAGAUCAGAGUGAUACAAAGAAGUCAAAGAACACCAAAGAUUGCCAACAAACCACCAGAAGCUAGGAGAAAGGCCUGAAACAUAUCCUUCCCGCAUGCCUUCAGAGGGAGCGUGGGCCUGCAGACACUUUGAUCUCAGACUUCUACCCUAUGGAACUGUGCAAAAAUAAAUGUCUGUUGUUUAAGCCAUUCAGUUUGUGUUACAGCACAAAUGUAUUCUAUUUAGAAUACAUCAUUCUAAAUAGAAAUUUUUUAAUAAUUAAGUAUUUUCCUCUCCUUGGAGCACUUGGUAACUUCUAAUUCUACUUUCUAUCUCUAUUAAUUUGCCUAUUCUAGAUAUAUCAAAUGAGUGAAAUAAUACAAUAGUUGUCUUUU